GCCUACUUUUACGCGAACGCAAAUUGCAACUGCAACUUUCAUGCUAACUGUUCUCUGUUAUCUGGGCAUGUAUAGUAAUGUAAUUUUAUGCCAAUGCAAUGUGCUAUUUUUCAAAUUAAGCAUGAAAGUUGCAGUUGUAAUUUGCGUUGGCGUAAAAGUAGGC